AUGUCUGCCAUAUUUUCUUUAUUGCUCCCGAGGAAUGGAGGAACAUGUGUAGCAGUCUCCAUGUUGGCUUCCCAACAUGAGGAUUAUGACCAUUCUCAACACCGAUGCAUUCUUGUUUGUCAUAUGGUAGUGUCGUUGUUGUGUCCGUUGACCCGCCAUGCCAAUAAGUUUCCACCUAAAACGGAUGCACGAAAAUUAAAAAAAUCAAAAGAAACGGCCGAUAGGAGAUAUCAGUUAGAAAGUUACUGCAUAAUUGCGAACUCCCUUUUUGGGUUCGAUCAGGCACUCCAAUCUACAGAAAAUAGUAGCUUAUAG
rnacentral:rRNA from 1 species